AGUGCUGUCAACUCGUCCUAUUUUAUUAUUAUCAAAUUAUUAAUUGAUUGAUAUUUAUUAAACAAUGCAUACGGACUUUGGGAAAUAUUUCAGUCAACUGAACAUUAUAUGAAGCAACCAGCCCAGCCGCAACUCUGCUGUUGCACCUGUUUGUGUCUCUAAACUCGUUUCUCGCUCCUUUUAAGAGUGCCCACAGCUAAUGUGCAGCAAAGUUGAGCGGAAAUAUGUAACUGUGCUCUGUGGAAAUGCGAAUGUAUGUAUUUUAAUUGGCCAUCGGGAAAAUGUGCAACUUUUCUCUUUCGGCGCAUGUACAUACAUUUCAUGUUACAGAAAUUGAAAUAGUGCGGAGCGGUGUAUUUUCACUGGAAUAAUGCUCGUGGAGUUGGACAACAAUGUCACUGGCAAGUUUCUCAUCAUUAUGGCAUGCAGCAAAUGCCAAUUUACAUAGAUAUGUAAAGUAACAAUUAUUUAUUUCCAUAGGGACUGCGGCCGGGCAGGCCCGGGCAAGAGAUCCAGCCGUCGAAAUGCUUCGUCUGGCCGGUGGGACGGUCGAGAAAACUUCAGAUCUCUGCCCAACACAAAACAAAUACAUCUGGAAAAAGAAGGAGUGAAAAAGUCACCUGCCCUGGGGGUGCGGGAAGCCACCAGCAAUCAGAUGAAAGAUCUCUAACUACAAGCCCAACGGACACGGAGACAUCUUAAAACGGGAGCUUCCCGGCAGAGAUAAUUUUGACAAUCUGUACAUAGAUCGCCGCGUGUUUUGUUAGCUGCACGGAAGUCUGGUGCAACCGUGAGUCCUGGUGGAUGCGAUUGAAGAAAUACAACUUAAUGGAAUGGAUUUCAUAGGCAAUGGCUCGCAUUUCGAAUUAUGAGCUUCCAUCAUAAAUUCAAGGAUUACUUGAAGCUUUAGGAGAUUAUGUCUUCAAACUUUUGCGUGAAUCCAAUUUGGGUGAAACCCCAAACGAUAAAUUAGUUCGCGCUGAGAGCCAAGUCAAACCAAGACAAGUGCCAGCACUCCUCCUCCUAUUAGAAGGCGAAUAGUCGUUCGCCUGACAUUCCAAUUAAUUCCGAGGGCGGAGCGCUUAUCAAAAGCGUUUUGCCAAAGGCCAAAGUACAAUAUUCGCAACGUCUGGUUCACUUACGGGUUAGUUAAUUAAUGAGAUGGAAUCCGCAGAAAAACUAGCGCACCAGAACGAUGGUAAUUCAUAACCGAAGGACAACAACAGCGGGAAGGCACCCGCCUUUAAAAAUUUAAGCUUUUGCGAAGGACCAACCCUGCGGUUUCGUGUUACGCACAAUCUAAUAAGGCUAAUUGCACACUGGUCUGGUCUGGCCUGGCCCAAAUCAUUGUAAACUGCGAGAAGAGGAAGGACACGCAGUCUACCAACUGUAGAUUUCGUACCUGCCGCAUCAUCGAUGUGUUUUCUGCAGACGUCAUCUGCCGCAGGGCAAAACAAUACUUUUAAUCCCCGCACUGGCACGUGCUCCUCCGUCGACAAAUCGUUCACACACAAACGGUUUCGAUAUCAAUCUCCAUGAAAGCAAAGAAAGGAAUCUGGAAGUUGAAGAUGAAGGAGCGGAGCGGAGUCCCACUCUGGUACUUAUUUAUUUGACCUUUCAUUUUGCAAGGAUAUCAUUUUACAUUGGAAAUGAAAUAAAAUAAUAUUCUUUUGAUGG